rnacentral:rRNA from 1 species
UACGUAUGGAGCAAGCGUUAUCCGGAUUUACUGGGUGUAAAGGGAGCGCAGGCGGUCUGGCAAGUCUGGUGUGAAAGGCCGGGGCUCAACCCCGGGACUGCAUUGGAAACUGUCAGACUGGAGUGUCGGAGAGGUAAGCGGAAUUCCUAGUGUAGCGGUGAAAUGCGUAGAUAUUAGGAGGAACACCAGUGGCGAAGGCGGCUUACUGGACGAUGACUGACGCUGAGGCUCGAAAGCGUGGGGAGCAAACAGG